ACGGGAGGCAGCAGUGGGGAAUAUUGCACAAUGGGCGCAAGCCUGAUGCAGCGAUGCCGCGUGAGGGAAGAAGGUUUUCGGAUUGUAAACUUCUGUCAACAGGGACGAAAAUGACGGUACCUGUGAAGGAAGCUCAGGCUAACUACGUGCCAGCAGCAGCGGUAAUACGUAGGGAGCAAGCGUUAUCCGGAAUUACUGGGUGUAAAGGGAGUGUAGGCGGGACUGUAAGUCAGAUGUGAAAUAUGCCGGCUCAACUGGCAGACUGCAUUUGAAACUGCGGUUCUUGAGUGAAGUAGAGGUAAGCGGAACUCCUAUUGUAGCGGUGAAAUGCGUAGAUAUUAGGAGGAACAUCAGUGGCGAAGGCGGUUAGCUGGACAGUAACUGACGCUGAGGCGCGAAAGCGUGGGUAGCAAACAGGAUAGAUACCCUGGUA
rnacentral:rRNA from 1 species